GAUGAACGCUGGCGGCGUGCCUAAUACAUGCCAGUCGAGCGAACAGAUGAGGAGCUUGCUCCUCUGACGUUAGCGGCGGACGGGUGAGUAACACGUGGAUAACCUACCUAUAAGACUGGGAUAACUUCGGGAAACCGGAGCUAAUACCGGAUAAUAUAUUGAACCGCAUGGUUCAAUAGUGAAAGACGGUUUUGCUGUCACUUAUAGAUGGAUCCGCGCCGCAUUAGCUAGUUGGUAAGGUAACGGCUUACCAAGGCGACGAUGCGUAGCCGACCUGAGAGGGUGAUCGGCCACACUGGAACUGAGACACGGUCCAGACUCCUACGGGAGGCAGCAGUAGGGAAUCUUCCGCAAUGGGCGAAAGCCUGACGGAGCAACGCCGCGUGAGUGAUGAAGGUCUUCGGAUCGUAAAACUCUGUUAUUAGGGAAGAACAAAUGUGUAAGUAACUAUGCACGUCUUGACGGUACCUAAUCAGAAAGCCACGGCUAACUACGU
rnacentral:rRNA from 1 species